rnacentral:misc_RNA from 1 species
GUAAAUCGCAUAUUUUACCCCCCUUCUCCACUAAAUAAUAUAAUAGUUGCAUGCAUGCAGGAUGCAGCCAAACAAAUUUCUGAAAUUUUGAAGCAAAGCAAAAAUCUGCAAACCAGUAAUACAAGGUGGAAUAACUCAGCUACAAUGGAUAACCAUUUCAAGUAUGGCUAUUGUAAGGCACAGGAGAUAACAGAAACAAGAGACAUUAAUAUAUCUGAAUUGCAGUGUGCGCCCUCCAAAGUCCUGAUCAACCACAUGCCAUUAAGGAGGGAAAAAAACUGAUGGCAUUGGAUCACAGGACAGAUCUACAGAUACUUUGUAUACAUAUAAAAAAGGACAAGCUUAAUUUACAUGUAGAAGACGGCCGGAAGAAAAGUAAAACUUAUCUUCAUAGAAGGCAAAAACCUAAACAAGUACAUGAAGCACCACCACUACCAGCAAUGACUUCAACAAACAAAACUGGGAUGUAAGUAGCCGGGCUGAGGCAGCUGAUGGUUUAGAUGGAGCUCUUCCAGCAACAGCAGGUGAAACCGCAUGUCCUCCAGGAGUGCUCUGCUGCUCAUUUGUUGGUAAUGGGUUAGCUGGUGCCCCACUGGGAGAAGUAAGAGGCAUCCUCUUGCCAUCACUUCGACCUUCACCUGCAUAUGUACAGGGGGGUUUCAAUUGACUGAUAAGAUCUAUCUCACAUAAAUAAAAGUUUUUAGUCUUCGAUUGUCAUACACCUUGAAAAAUAGUAACAAAGGCCAGAAAACUCACAAUCGGAGCGUGACCAUCCCAACUUCAAAUUUUCCCUAUCAAACACCACUCGAUAUCCCGUCAUGAAAUUUUCUGCAUUAAAAUUUUUCUUUCAAGUAUAAAAAUAAUCCUAGAUUGAGAGAAAAGGAGCCCUUGCCCAGGAAAAAAAAAAUAGCACACUUACGUCCAAUGGCUCCAAUAUCUUCAUCAGUUGGUUGAAUGGCUAAACAAAAUCCAGCAACUCCCUGCAUGCCAUAGAUCAUAAAAACAGGAUUAUGGAUCACAAAGCUGUUGUUUAACGGGAAAAUGAGCUUCACAGAUGGCACCUUGGGCGAGUCCUUUGAACUGGAUUUGUAACAAUACUUCCAGGGAUAACCGUCAAAGCUGGAGAUCGUAACAUUCACUUGUCGGUCAAACUCCUCAGUAACUCUUUCAUAAACAUCUUCUGGAAGAAAUGUGAAUGAUGUGCCAGUAUCAACUAGUGCCCUAAAGCUUGUCUGCUUAAGGCAAGAACUGCCAACACAACAGGCCUCCACUCCCACGAUGUAUGUUGUGUAAUUCCCAUUUAGAGUGAGGAAUGGAGUAGAUUGCUGGGUUGUUGGUCCCUGAUCACCAAAAAAUAUUCUCCCAGAAUCAUCCUCAUCAAAGCACAUUGAGAAAGAGUUUCUGAUCAAUCCUGCUUUAGCAAGAAAACUGGGAACUGAAAUUUCUGACAGUCCUAAACCCAUCAGACCAUCAGGUGCAACCCCGUCCAAGUAACCACCACUUUGCUUCAUGCCACAUCCUAUGACCACUGCAGCCUGCACAGAAGCAUUUAAUGCAUUAUCACCAUCUGAUGCAAGAUGUAAUAUGUCCUCAAGCAGCAAUCCAGAACUUGAUGUGUUUUCUGUGUAAUAAUCAAUAGCGUAAGGGCAUGGCUGUUUAGGGCUUUUGCAGUUCGGACCUGAUUCACAUAACCGAUGGCUGCAAGAUAGGUGCUUGCUGGUACUUGAAUGAGAAGGACUAUAUUCAUUCAGAUCUCUAUCCAGACUGUUAUAGUAACUUGCAGAUAGGGGGGCACAUUGCACGCAAUCGCAAGGCACCCAGAGUAGAUCACUUCCAGCAUCCAGUGCAACAAGAAAUGACACAUGAGGUGUCCCUAUAUCAAUCCAGGUGUAGUGCAACCAUCCAAAGUCAUUUCCAAGCGACAUCGUUUUGCUGCCUUCGGAAGGGAAGAGAAAAUUGUAAUGAGGUCCAAGCUUCAUCUUCUGCCUCUGGAAGUCACUGCUCACGAGCUUCUGGUAAUACUCCACACUCUUCUUCUCAGGCCACAAGUUCCUCAUGCUCAAGCUUCCGUACUUCGAAACCCUAAGCGUCUUCAUUUCGUCAGAGAACCGGUGAAUCAGCUUCGACGAGAAUGUAAUUUCUAAGCUCUCCCCCACAAGAAGGCUCGCCAUUACCAAAAUAAGCAGAGAUCGAGCCGCCAUGGCGACUCGAAAUGUGCAGCAAGCAAGGGUGGGCGGCUGAUGAUCUAGCAGUGUGCAAAUGACAAUAGAAAAAAUGAACAGAAUAGGGCAAUUUAGAGUGCUUUUAAGCAAUAAGAUGGAGAUCUAGCGUUUUGAGGCUAGUGUUGAAAUGUGUAUAGCUCCGGCCACCGUGUGUAGGAGGGAUGAGCCACCGAUUUUUUCAGGGCCGGCGAAGAGAAGGAGCAAAUAUUUGUCAAGUGUUUAUAUGCAACUUUACUUCUGCGGGAAAUCACGAGACA